rnacentral:rRNA from 1 species
GUGUCAGCCGCCGCGGUAAGACGAGCCACACAAACGUUAUUCGGAAUUACUGGGCUUAAAGGGUGCGUAGGCGGCGCGGAAAGUUGGGUGUGAAAUCCCUCGGCUCAACCGAGGAAUUGCGCUCAAAACUACCGUGCUCGAGGGAGAUAGAGGAGCGCGGAACUUAGGGUGGAGCGGUGAAAUGCGUUGAUAUCCUAGGGAACACCGGUGGCGAAAGCGGCGCUCUGGAUCUCUUCUGACGCUGAUGCACGAAAGCUAGGGUAGCAAACGGGAUUAGAAACCCGAGUAGUCC